rnacentral:rRNA from 1 species
CCUACGGGUGGCAGCAGUGAGGAAUAUUGGUCAAUGGACGAGAGUCUGAACCAGCCAAGUAGCGUGAAGGAUGACUGCCCUAUGGGUUUUAAACUUCUUUUAUAUGGGAAUAAAAUGUUCCACGUGUGGGAUUUUGUAUGUACCUUAUUAAUAAGGAUCGGCUAACUCCGUGCCAGCAGCCGCGGUAAUACGGAGGAUGCGAGCGUUAUCCGGAUUUAUUGGGUUGAAAGGGCGCGGAGGUGGAUUGUUAAGUCAGGUGUGAAAGGUUGGGGCUCAACCGUGGAAUUGCAUUUGAAACUGGCAGGCUUGAGUACAGUAGAGGUAGGCGGAAUUCGUGGUGUAGCGGUGAAAUGCGUAGAUAUCAGGAAGAACACCGAUGGCGAAGGCAGCUUACUGGACUGCAACUGACGCUGAGGCUCGAAAGUGUGGGUAGCAAACAGGAUUAGAUACCCCUGUAGUC